UCUUACUAUGCUGCCCAGGCUGUAGCCUUAGGUAAAGUGCCUUCAAAGGCUCGUUUUAGCUUUGUCAUUUUAUGAAAAGUUGAUAUUCUACUCCCUAAGAUAUCCAUCUUUGUCUUCAGAUAAAAAUUAUUUUCCCAAGUCAUCAAGUUGUGCCAUGUUACCCAGCCUGUGGCUUGUAGUGUCCCUGACACACCCUUGCAUAACGCAGGGAGCCCCUGUGCCCUGUGUGAGAAGCACAGCGUGAAGAUGUUGUCCAUAAUAUUGUACAUGGAAAAGGUAACGUUAGCCCCCAUUAAUGUGGAUUCUCUCAUCUAAUUUCCUCUUUUCACCCAGCAAAGUGCCCAGUGACUGAGAAUGAGACAGAAGAUGAGGGCGUUUGAGGAUGAGAAGGAAGAGGAAAGUCAUCAGAGCCACCUGGAAGUAGAGGUCUGGUCAGGUUGGCCUGCUUAACCAAGAUGGCAGCCAGGGGAGUAGGAAGGAUGAAGACAUUGCACACAUUUGGAGGAAGAAACCAAAGCUGGCAUGAGAGGAGUCCUUUCCAGGGCUGUUCAAGGCAACAGGAUGCAGCCAGGCUGUUUCGCUUGAAUCAUCAUGCGAUAUGUACAUUCAUCAUGGAAGACUCCUCCCAAUGGGUAAACAUUGGAAGACACCAGGAGGGAAGCCAAGCCUCUAGAGAUUGCUCAGGAACCCAAACCACCCCAAAUGGAGCCGGAAGGUCUGUCAAUUCCCAGAGAGGGAGGAAAUGGUAAGCAAAUGGCAGCAGUUGCUUAGAAAAUUAGGGAAUGAAUAACAAUGCUUUCUGGUAAAUUAACCAUAUUACAUUGUGCAGGGGAAAGCGAUAGGAAAACCCUGUUAAAAAUUGAAUAAUAAUUUGCCCACAUCAUUUAUGCAAAAUGCAUAAUUUUCCUACUUCAGUGGACUUUAGUUUGAUUUAAAAGAUGAGCAGCUCUAGGACUAUUCACCAAAGCAUAAUUUGUAAGAUAAUUGGGAAGGGGAAGAGAAAUCAGACUGUAAUCAGCACAAUCUUUCGUAAGUCACUUCACCUUCCUCCUCUCACCUGCAAAUUUUGGAAAAUAUUUGUUUACCCUUUCCUGAAGUUCUCUAAAUGGAAGUGCAAAGCAUUAAUCAUUGUCAUUGCUACCACUAAACCAUGACCUCACCAUGAGAGGGGGGAAAGCCAUGUUUCAUUCUAUUCAGUAUUUUUCUGCUCUAAUUCAAAUAAGUACUUGUUUUGAAUAGUGGGGAAAAAAAUGGAAAUGUAGCAAAGCUAUAGUUAAAACAACAAGCUGAGAACAAAAGCAACAUGCAUGCAGGCAAAGGAGACCUUGGAAGAUACACAGAUAAAACAAAAAGCUGUGCUUGGCUGGGAUUCUGUUUCAGAAUCAAAUGCAAAAUGGAGAAUAUUGUUCCAACUGUAAAGGUUUUGCAAUCUACAAUCAGUCAGAAUGAAAAGAUAUCAUGUAAUCCACCUUAACAGUCAGAAGCUGCACUAUUGCUGUGAAUUAUGAUAUUUGUUCAUGACUAAUGUAGAUUUUCAGACCUAGAAUGGUUGAAGGUGGGCAGGAAUUUGUAGGUAUACCAGAUACCCUUCACUUCAACAGGGCACACCCAUGUCAGCUGAUGUUUAUAUCUCUUCCUCUCCUCCUUUUCCCUCCUCCUCACCCCUUGCUCCCCAAUCUCAUUAGAAUCAUGAAAUUUUUACUUAUAUAUUCAUUAAUUCUCUUCAUCCCCAUCUCUCCACAAAAGAUCAUUAUCUACUUAUUAAAUUCAGCCCUUACACAGUGUCUCAUGCCUGUAAUCUCAGCUAUUCGGAAG